GAUGAACGCUGGCGGCGUGCCUAAUACAUGCAAGUCGAGCGAACAGACGAGGAGUUUGCUCCUCUGACGUUAGCGGCGGACGGGUGAGUAACACGUGGAUAACCUACCUAUAAGACUGGGAUAACUUCGGGAAACCGGAGCUAAUACCGGAUAAUAUAUUGAACCGCAUGGUUCAAUAGUGAAAGACGGUUUUGCUGUCACUUAUAGAUGGAUCCGCGCCGCAUUAGCUAGUUGGUAAGGUAACGGCUUACCAAGGCAACGACCCGUAGCCGACCUGAGAGGGUGAUCGGCCACACUGGAACUGAGACACGGUCCAGACUCCUACGGGAGGCAGCAGUAGGGAAUCUUCCGCAAUGGGCGAAAGCCUGACGGAGCAACGCCGCGUGAGUGAUGAAGGUCUUCGGAUCGUAAAACUCUGUUAUUAGGGAAGAACAAAUGUGUAAGUAACUAUGCACGUCUUGACGGUACCUAAUCAGAAAGCCACGGCUAACUACGUG
rnacentral:rRNA from 1 species